AGGAUGAACGCUGGCGGCGUGCCUAACACAUGCAAGUCGAACGUCCUGUCUCGCAAGAGGCAGGGAGUGGCGGACGGGUGAGUACCACGUGGGUCAUCUACCGUGAGGUGAGGAAUACCGGCGAGAAAUCGCCGACAAGACCGCAUAGGCUCGAUGCAAGUCGAGCAAAGCUCUUUCGAGAGAGGGAGCGCCACACGAGGAGCCUGCGCCCGAUUAGCUAGCUGGUGGAGUAACGGUUCACCAGGGCGACGAUCGGUAGCUGGUCUGAGAGGACGAUCAGCCACACUGGGAUUGAGAACGGCCCAGACUCCUACGGGGGCAGCAGUGAGGAAUUUCGUCAAUGGGGGCAACCCUGAACGAGCAACGCCGCGUGCAGGAAGAAGGUUUCGGAUCGUAAACUGCUUUUCUCGGGAAGAGAAUGGACGGUACCGAGGAAUCAGCCCGGCUAACUACGUGCCAGCAGCCGCGGU
rnacentral:rRNA from 1 species